UACAUAUCUUAGUAUCAUCAGCAAAAAGACAUACCUUACCAUCAAGACCUUCUGCAAUAUCACUAAUAAAAAUAUUAAAGAGAAUGGGUCCAAGUACAGAUCCCUGAGGAACCCCACUGGUGACAAGUCCAAGCUUCGAAUAUAUUCCAUUAACUACAACCCUCUGUUGCCUGUUACUCAGCCACUGCCUUACCCAUUCAACAAUAUUUGAAUCCAAACUUAAAGAUUGCAGUUUAUUGAUAAGCC
rnacentral:lncRNA from 1 species